UCCAGCGUCUUUUGCGGAUUUUGCAAACACGCGUCCUUUUUCGACUUUGAACCAUCUUGGUGAAAGCAAGGGAAGCCUUCUGAUCUCUGCCGAAAAUAAAAGCAAUUCUAGUGAAAUUUUGGCUGGUCGCCGUUCCAUAUUGGGAUUGUUCAGUAGAAUUACGGUCUUGGAAUUCAUUGAGGGUCGAGAAGACCGAUUGGCAAGAAAUUGAGCUUGGCCUGUGUAGUUGGAAUUCAGGGGAAAACCUUGAAAAGAGAUAUCUUUGUUGGUUGGAGGAUAGGAGUUGUAGAUGGGUGCGUGGACAUACUGGGAUGAGUACGAGGACAGUUAAGGAACCCUUUUCCAUGGAGUAACAUGCGUUGAGACGCCAUUUUGUCUUGGAAGGUCCGCAUGGUGGAAAGGUAUUUUACUAUGUCCAAACUAGAACGUGUCACUAAAA